rnacentral:rRNA from 1 species
CCUACGGAAGGCAGCAGUGAGGAAUAUUGGUCAAUGGACGAGAGUCUGAACCAGCCAAGUAGCGUGAAGGAUGACUGCCCUAUGGGUUGUAAACUUCUUUUAUAUGGGAAUAAAAUGUUCCACGUGUGGGAUUUUGUAUGUACCAUAUGAAUAAGGAUCGGCUAACUCCGUGCCAGCAGCCGCGGUAAUACGGAGGAUCCGAGCGUUAUCCGGAUUUAUUGGGUUUAAAGGGAGCGUAGGUGGAUUGUUAAGUCAGUUGUGAAAGUUUGCGGCUCAACCGUAAAAUUGCAGUUGAAACUGGCAGUGUGGAGUACAGUAUAGGUGGGCGGAAUUAGUGGUGUAGAGGUGAAAGGAUGAGCUAUCACGAAGA